CAGCUCCAACUGAUGCUCUGAGAGCAAAUGUCAUCCCAACCAGGCUGGGCCAUCAAAGCCAAGCAGGUUGGUACAGGGCUUCCUGGCAGCAUUUUCCAACGGAGCCAUGGGAGAAAAGGAGGGACCUCGAAGUGAUGGAGAGAUGACGCAGGCACUCCAUAAGCAACGGGGUAUUUCCCGAGCCCAGCUGUUUGCCCUUGAAAACUGAACAAGAGAACGAACCGCAGAACUGUAGUUACCACAUUGAGAAGUAGGUUUGACUCUGGAAGGAACUUCUAGAGUUUAAGACAACAUCCCCGUGUACUUGUACAACACUUUCUGAUUCACA
rnacentral:lncRNA from 1 species